AUGUGUACAUAGUUUCAUAGUAAUUGCAUGUAUUGUUUUUUUAAUGGAAACUUUCUUUGUAGAAUAAAAACUAUUAUUUACUAACCAUAGCUUCAAAGAUACUUUGACAGGAAUGUAUGAAAAAAAUUCUUUACUUUUAACAAUUUAACUCAUAUAAAACUUUAAAAAGAAAUAAGGAAUUAAUUUUGGUAUAUUGUUAGUGGACAUAUUAAUAUUGUGAAAUCCAAACCACGUUAAACCUUGGAGCUGUGUUGGAUAUCACCAUAAUCUGUUCAAUAUUAUUUGAAGUGGUCAAGUAUGGGUAUUAACCUAGAGAUUUUUUUUUAUUAAACAGUCUUAGGCAAAGUUGCAAUUCAAGUUUCAAAUAAUCGGGCCCAGGAAAUCAACAAAGAUUUUUAACCCUUGAAAAUUUUGCAAGUAUGGUGCAUUUAUUUUUCAAUUUGAAAUCAUUUUUUGCAAAAAAUAUUUUACUUGAUUAUUUCAUAGUUAUGUUAUAUUCAUCAAUGACUUUAUGGUAUCAAGGGACAUUCUAUUGAUCAAUGU
rnacentral:lncRNA from 1 species